rnacentral:rRNA from 1 species
AACGAACGCUGGCGGCAUGCCUAACACAUGCAAGUCGAACGGGCAGGAGCAAUCCUGUCAGUGGCAGACGGGUGCGUAACGCGUGGGAACCUACCUGAAGGUUCGGAAUAACUGCGGGAAACUGCAGCUAAUACCGGAUGUUGCCUGAGGGCUAAAGGAGCAAUCCGCCUUCAGAGGGGCCCGCGUCCGAUUAGCUAGUUGGUGAGGUAACGGCCUACCAAGGCGUCGAUCGGUAGCUGGUCUGAGAGGAUGACCAGCCACACUGGAACUGAGACACGGUCCAGACUCCUACGGGAGGCAGCAGUGGGGAAUAUUGGACAAUGGGGGAAACCCUGAUCCAGCAAUGCCGCGUGGGUGAUGAAGGCCUUCGGGUUGUAAAGCCCUUUUGGCGGGGACGAUGAUGACGGUACCCGCCGAAUAAGCCCCGGCUAACUUCGUGCCAGCCGCCGC